rnacentral:misc_RNA from 1 species
GAUGAAGAACGCAGCGAAAUGCGAUAAGUAAUGUGAAUUGCAGAAUUCAGUGAAUCAUCGAAUCUUUGAACGCACAUUGCGCCCGCCAGUAUUCUGGCGGGCAUGCCUGUUCGAGCGUCAUUUCAACCCUCAAGACCCCUUCGGGGGACUUGGUGUUGGGGACCGGCACAGGGGCCUGCCUGCUUGUCUUGCAGCGCCCUUGCCGCCCCCGAAAUGAAUUGGCGGCCUCGUCGCGGCCUCCCCUGCGUAGUAGCACAACCUCGCAACGGGAACGUGACGGCGGCCACUGCCGUAAAACAACCCCAAUUUUAUUAGAGUUGACCUCGAAUCAGGUAGGAAUACCCGCUGAACUUAAGCAUAUCAAUAAGCGGAGGA